rnacentral:rRNA from 1 species
AUUGAACGCUGGCGGCAGGCCUAACACAUGCAAGUCGGACGGUAGCACAGAGGAGCUUGCUCCUCGGGUGACGAGUGGCGGACGGGUGAGUAAUGUCUGGGGAUCUGCCCGAUAGAGGGGGAUAACCACUGGAAACGGUGGCUAAUACCGCAUAACGUCGCAAGACCAAAGAGGGGGACCUUCGGGCCUCUCACUAUCGGAUGAACCCAGAUGGGAUUAGCUAGUAGGCGGGGUAACGGCCCACCUAGGCGACGAUCCCUAGCUGGUCUGAGAGGAUGACCAGCCAAACAGGAACUGAGACACGGUCCAGACUCCUACGGGAGGCAGCAGUGGGGAAUAUUGCACAAUGGGCGCAAGCCUGAUCCAGCCAUGCCGCGUGUAUGAAGAAGGCCUUCGGGUUGUAAAGUACUUUCAGCGGGGAGGAAGGCGAUGUGGUUAAUAACCGCAUUGAUUGACGUUACCCGCAGAAGAAGCACCGGCUAACUCCGUGCCAGCCGCCGCCGUAA